GGCUAACUCUGUGCCAGCAGCCGCGGUAAUACGGAGGGUGCAAGCGUUACUCGGAAUCACUGGGCGUAAAGGACACGUAGGCGGGUUAGAAAGUCAGAUGUGAAAUCCUACAGCUUAACUGUAGAACUGCAUUUGAAACUUCUAACCUAGAGUAUGGGAGGGGGAGAUGGAAUUAGUGGUGUAGGGGUAAAAUCCGUAGAUAUCACUAGGAAUACCUAAAGCGAAGGCGAUCUCCUGGAACAUUACUGACGCUAAGGCGUGAAAGCGUGGGGAGCAAACGGGAUUAGAUACCCCGGUAGUCCACGCCCUAAACGAUGUUCACUAGUCGUCGGGAUGCUAGUCAUCUCGGUGAUGCACUUAACAGAUUAAGUGAACCGCCUGGGGAGUACGGUCGCAAGAUUAAAACUCAAAGGAAUAGACGGGGACCCGCACAAGUGGUGGAGCAUGUGGUUUAAUUCGAAGAUACGCGAAGAACCUUACCUAGCCUUGACAUUGAAGAAACACACUAGAGAUAGAGUGGUGCCCUUCGGGGAAUCUGAAAACAGGUGCUGCACGGCUGUCGUCAGCUCGUGUCGUGAGAUGUUGGGUUAAGUCCCGCAACGAGCGCAACCCUCGUCCUUAGUUGCCAGCAGGUUAAGCUGGGCACUUUAAGGAGACUGCCUUCGCAAGGAGGAGGAAGGUGAGGACGACGUCAAGUCAUCAUGGCCCUUAUGGCUAGGGCUACACACGUGCUACAAUGGGGCGUACAGAGAGUUGCGAUACCGCGAGGUGGAGCCAAUCUCAUAAAGCGUCUCUCAGUUCGGAUAGCAGUCUGCAACUCGACUGCUUGAAGCUGGAAUCACUAGUAAUCGUAGAUCAGCAAUGCUACGGUGAAUACGUUCCCGGGUCUUGCACACACCGCCCGUC
rnacentral:rRNA from 1 species